CCCAGACUCCUACGGGAGGCAGCAGUGGGGGAUAUUGCACAAUGGGGGGAACCCUGAUGCAGCGACGCCGCGUGGGUGAAGAAGCGCCUCGGCGCGUAAAGCCCUGUCAGCAGGGAAGAAAAUGACGGUACCUGAAGAAGAAGCCCCGGCUAACUACGUGCCAGCAGCCGCGGUAAUACGUAGGGGGCAAGCGUUAUCCGGAUUUACUGGGUGUAAAGGGGGCGCAGACGGCGAUGCAAGCCAGGAGUGAAAGCCCGGGGCCCAACCCCGGGACUGCUCUUGGAACUGCGCGGCUGGAGUGCAGGAGGGGCAGGCGGAAUUCCUUUUUUUUUUUUUUUUUUUUUGGAUAUCAGGAGGAACACCGGCGGCGAAGGCGGCCUGCUGGACCGUGACUGACGUUGAGGCUCGAGAGCGCGGGGAGCAAACAGGAUUAGAUACCCCAGUAAC
rnacentral:rRNA from 1 species